AGCUUACACAUGCAAGUCGAGCGGUAACAGAGAUAGCUUGCUAUCUGCUGACGAGCGGCGGACGGGUGAGUAAUGCUUGGGAAUAUGCCUUUGAGUGGGGGACAACAGUUGGAAACGACUGCUAAUACCGCAUAACGUCUACGGACCAAAGGGGGGGAUGCUUCGGCACCUCUCGCUCAUUGAUUAGCCCAAGUGAGAUUAGCUAGUUGGUAAGGUAAUGGCUUACCAAGGCGACGAUCUCUAGCUGGUUUGAGAGGAUGAUCAGCCACACUGGGACUGAGACACGGCCCAGACUCCUACGGGAGGCAGCAGUGGGGAAUAUUGCACAAUGGGCGAAAGCCUGAUGCAGCCAUGCCGCGUGUGUGAAGAAGGCCUUCGGGUUGUAAAGCACUUUCAGCGAGGAGGAAAGGUUAGUAGUUAAUAGCUGCUAGCUGUGACGUUACUCGCAGAAGAAGCACCGGCUAACUUCGUGCCAGCAGCCGCGGUAAUACGAGGGGUGCAAGCGUUAAUCGGAAUUACUGGGCGUAAAGCGUGCGUAGGUGGUUUUGUUAGCAAGAUGUGAAAGCCCCGGGGCUCACCUGGGAACUGCAUUUUGA
rnacentral:rRNA from 1 species